GACCCUUAACAUCACGUGUAAUGAUCUCAGUGAACGUCCCUCUGCAUCACGUGAUCUCGCUCAGUUCAUCUGUAAGAUGCCUCAUCUGAAGAAACUGACACUCGACGGUCCGUGUCACGAUGACUUCUACUCAACGUCAUCGUCGCUGGCAUCAUCAGCAAAGAUUGAGACUCUUACCAUCAAGUUUGAGGAUCUCAGUAAGCGUCCCUCUGCAUCACGUGAUCUCGCUCAGUUCAUCUGUAAAAUGCCUCAUUUGAAGAACCCGACACUCGGCGGUCAGUACCACGAUGACUUCUACUCAACAUCAUCGUCGAUGGCAUCAUCUGCAAAGGCUAGUGCCUUCCGCUAGAUUAUCUUGAUCCGCCACUGGAUAACCAAGCAUCACGUGAUCUCGCUCAGUUCAUCUGAAGAAACUGACACUCGACGGUCAGUGUCACGAUGACUUCUACUCAACAUCAUCGUCGCUGGCAUCAUCAGCAAAGAUUGAGACUCUUACCUUCGAGAAAGAGGAUCUCAGCAAUCAGCCCUCUGCAUCACGUGAUUUCGCUCAGUUCAUCUGUAAGAUGCCUCAUUUGAAGAGCCUGAAACUCGGAGGUGGUCAAGUCGAGGUUUCUCUUCACGAUGACUUCUACUCAACAUCGUCAUCGAUGGCAUCAUCCGCAAAGAUUAAGACUCUUUACAUCCACUCUUGGGAUCUCAGUAGACGUCCCUCUGCAUCACGCAAAGGUGCAC